GGAUGUGAGGACGAUCUGGCUGAGACAUCUGUCACCCCACCGAUCACCAAUGUUGAUUUGGCUGAUCUGGCUGGCGGGGCGGGUGUCCCCUUCCUCCCUCCCUGCUCCAUGUGCGUCCUUCCGGAAGCUGCAGGCUUGGUCAAAGAGGACGACCAUCCGCGAUAGAGGAGGACUUCAGUCAAGGGUGUACAAGUAGCUGCCCUCCCCUGCUAGAACCUCCAGACAAGCUCUCAAGGAAAUAAGGCAGACUGCAAAUUAAUUAGUUGGGCAUACAUCACAAGAAGUU
ensembl:misc_RNA 7SK 7SK RNA